UGGGCCGCGGGGUGCCCGGCGCGCGCGGGCCGGCAGCCUGGUGGCAGCUCCCGGUUCGUUUCGCAGAUGGUCGGGCUUGGAACCGCUCCGGUGGCCCAAGGUGAAGGGCUGGGCGCCACAGACCCGCGAUCUGGGCAGAAAUUACUACAUUCACCUAAGAAAUCCCAGAGAAAAGCAAGUGGAAAAGCCCAUAGAUGUACCUCUUUCAUCCGUCUACCACUCAGCAGGAAUAGCUACUUCCCAUUAAGUCCAUGAAUAUUAAUAGCUACACAGGAUGCCGGUGAAGCUUUUUUAUUUCUGGGCUGGGGAGCACAUGAAGAGGUAAUGGCAUCUGUGCUCUUGACAUUCUGCCAUAAGCACCAGGUGUGCUUCUCCUUGGGCUCCCUCUGCACUGGUGUAGCACCGUAAUGGCUUGAAAAUUAUCAUCUGAGGCUGAAGUUCCUUUGUCCUGCCAGUUUUGCCCCUUGAGUUCCUUUCACUUUCUGAAAGCAAGUGGGAAGAUGUGUUAACUCCAGGGAAGAAAUUAAUAUGGUGUUAAAGCCAUACCUGAACUGUGGUUUAACUUCUAGUUAGCUUUUCUUUCAGUGGUUGUUCUUCUUGUGGAAAGACCUUGCUGAGCUGGGCAGUCAUUUCCUCUCUUUCUGCCUCACGGUUUUGGGCGGUCUGUAUUCCAGAGCUACGCAGAAAGAAAGGAAUGGCUGGAAAACAGCAACCUUAACUUGGUUAACUUCCUGCAUGUAAUCAAAGGCUAUUCUAUGAGCUGCUUGGAAAAAUACUGCUGCCCACCACUCAGUGAAAUUCCUUCUUAAUCGUCUUUCACAGCAUUAAGCCGCUUGCAGUCAUUUUUGUUCAUUCCAGUAAAACAUACAGGGCUUGUAGCAUUCUACCAGUUGUGCUAAUUUAAAAGAAAGAUCGUAUACAGCUGCACAGUUGUCUUUCUGUGAAGGAAAGAAUGGUCUAAAUGUAGAAAAAUGGGUGGCAGGCAACCUAAUGCUGGCCAACACAAGUCACCCUCGUGGUUAAAACUUAUCUGGAAAGAUGAGACUCAGCAUUCCUGCAUUGAAGCUGAACAAGAAUCUGGAUUCAUGUGCUGCAUAAAAUAUUUCUAAAUGCUGGGAGGGUAGCAGGUCAGAGAUAAAGAGGAGGAAACUCAGAAAGGGAGGCUAGGGCACUCUCAGAGCCAGAGCUUUAAGAAAAAAAAAAAAUGCAAGAAAAAUUACUUGGGGUGACAGCACUAAAAUAAUCAAAUACAAGAAAGAUGGAUGGGCCUGCUGAAACAGCUGAAUUUACAAUGCUAAACCACAUCUUUUUUAUCAUGUUUCUUUAAGCGUUCUUAGAUAGCUAGGUACUUCAUUUCUUAUAAAAAAGCUAUAGGUUUUACAGAUAACAAAUGUACUCUAACAUUUAUCAUUUGAAAGCUUGAAAAACACUGCUGUAGGUAAAGGUAGUGAAUAUCCCUGCACUUUGCAGUGUAGUGACUCUGGAAAUUCAAAUACAGUAAAAACAGACGUUAAGUCAUGAGUGUCAAUGAAGUUACCAUCUUAAGAUUGGUCAGUGAAGAAAACAGUGUAGCUGGUCAGUAUCUUCGGUUUUACAAUGUUUUCUUAAUGUAGUUUCCUUCAUUAUAUUCAGAAACUAUUUUUAAUUUAAGGAGUUAAAAAAAGAACAUUUGCCUUUUACUAGCCUUUUAAAUGAAAUACUCUAGGAUAAAUAUUCCCAGCUCUUUAGAGUCUGUCUAUUAAAGUGAAAAUAAACGAGCAGCACUGAAUGAGCCCUUUCAAAGUGCAGCUUUUUAUUCUAAUUGAAUUCCAUGAUGAUUCCAAAACUAGAGUCAGAGGCUAGAAUCUAAAAGCAUUUAGGAAAAUGUACUUAAAGUGCUAAGCAUGCUUUACCAGUAUUCUAGAAUAAUGAAAAGAUACAAACAUCUCAAUUUGAGCUAAAUCCUCUUGACAUUCAUUUCUGUGUCCUCUCCCUUUUUGUGGCUUGAUACUUGAAGUAUGAAGUCAUUCUGAGAUGGACUGAAGGGAAAGGCAUUGUGUGUGCCAUACUCCCAAAGCUGCGUGAAUUAAUGCUGCUCUGUAUUUCCUCAAGGAAUGAGCACAUUCAGUUUAUGUUUAUUGAGAAUAGACCCUGGGAAUGAAUUAUUUCUUCCUUAUAAGGAGCCUUGUGUUGAGGUAUCUGUGGGGAGAGUUUAGCUCACUACUAAGUUACCAGGGAUAAAAGCAUUGCUGUUACAAGUAAAAUGAUAAUGUGCAAGUGACUUCUUAAAAUUAAACAUGUUGAACUGAUUUAGAGGGUUCAGAAUUUCCAAGCCUUGGAAUAGAGGAAUAAGAGUGUCUCACCUUUCUUCAGAGUUUUAACUUAUUCACUUAACCAUUUGCAAAAAGUCAAAAGCAGAAAAUCCUGUCACUGAGAGGACUCUAGAUUUAACAUCCCUCUGGGUUUGUUGUGACCUUCUGUAGAUCCGAGCUGCAGAAUUCAUGAACACUCAAAGCAAAAAGAAUGUUAUUCCUCUCACAGGCUUUUGUAAACUUUCUUUUUAAAUGAUUAUAUUUUCUAAUACUGAAAUAAAAGCAAAUUUGAUUAAAACUUCAGGUUUUAAAAUAACUUUCUUAUAGGUAUUCUCUCUCUUUACUGCAAAUAGAUACACUUAAUUGUGGUAAAGUGGUUUAAAAAGAAAAAAAAAAGAUUCCUCAAAGCUUUAUCUUCUUCUGGUCAGACAUCCUCCACCAAAAAUGUGAUAGGCCAGUUCAGAAGUUAAUCAGGUGCAAAAUGCCACCGAUCGGUUUACCGGCAUGUGUAGGAACACCUCAGCACAUAUAAUGUAAAGUGAAGUGGACUGGUGGUCUAAAAGGAAAUAUUAUUGGAUUGCCUUCUUGUGGAUAAGCAUCCUCCACUAACAAACCUCCUUUUUAUCUUCUCGGGCUUCCUGCCUUUAAACUGUGCUUUACUUUAGACUUCCUUGCAUUAGACCAAAUUAUUACAUUGCUGUGGCAGGCAACAUAAUAAUUCUUGGGCAGAAACUCUGCAUGAAGAAGGGCAUGCAAACCCCAAUCCACUAAUGUCAGGAACAAAAGCCAUUGCUUACCUAGAUUUUCACCAGUGACAAAGAAAGAAGCAACAUAUACUACAAUUCUCAGAAGUGCAUUUUCCAGGAUGCUAAGUGCUGGUAGAAUGGCUUUAAAAAUGGCUUUAAAGAAAAACAAAACAAAACAAAACCACCCCUCUUUCCCCCAUUUCAAGAAGGCUGAGUCCAGAUUCAUUCGUGAUUGCAAGAGAUCUGUACUUACAAGGGAACAGCUUAAAUAUACCAAAAAGUGAAGCUCCUGCCCAUGCGCUAUAGAGAUGCGGUGCAUAUCAGUGUGCACACCCUUGCUGUGCUGGUGCCUCCUUGUCUCCACCAGCACAGCCAAAACAGCAGUGCAAGGAGGAGGAAAGUAUAGCUAACUGGCCAGCAAUUACUCAGGAUAUUUGCCAGUCUUCUGCAAACUUCUCUGCCUUUAUAAAUUGUAACUGAGGACCCACAGAAAGUAUAGAGGUAGGUAAAAGGCAGAGAUAGCUGAGCAACACUUAAAUGGUUCGUUUUCAAACAACUGGAAUUCUUUUAAAAAGCUUGGAUAUAAUCUCUGCUUCCCCUAAUUUGGUCACCAGUGAUUGCAUUUAGCAAGCUGGGGAAACUGAACUGGACUUUAAGAUUUUUUUACUUAACAGCCUAUUUAAAAUUUAAUUCCUACCGGUACUUAAAGUCUUAGUUUACAAGUAUUUGAACAAUAUUGCAAACUGGCCUCUAGCUUUACUGGGACUGAAACACCCUGUCAGGAUUUACAGGCAACUCUUUUCUUGGGUUGUAUCAGAGACAAACUUACAAGGUAGUGCUCUAAAUACGGGGGUGUCUGUAUAACUCAGAGGAGAGACAGAGAUUUUUGUGUAUGUUGCGCUAUCUGGUUAAGCUUCAUUUGGUCCAAGAGGACUAUGCACUGAGGAAUAAUUAAUAAAGACCUAGUGCGAGGGUAUAACAUUUUGAGGAGUUGGUUUCACUUCUUCCCGCCCCGAGUUUUCAUCUUCUAUUUGUAUCUGUAUAGCAGUAUUUGGUGUCAACUCCAUCCUUAAGCAAAGUGCCACUUAAGUACUUUUGCGGGUUGGGUUUAACUAAGUAAAACUCGGGCAUUUGUCCCAGGGCUUUAGAAGGCAUUUGAAAUUUUGUAGCCUACAUACUAAUUAGACUGAUACGUACUUGUUUUACCAAGUUAUCCCUGCAACACCAAGUGACUGAGCCAUGGAAUACUGCAUCUGUUUGGAGCAGUCAGCUUCCAAAGCUAAACACAGUUUACUGACGUAUAUCUUGGGUGAUGUUGAUAUACUUUCACCUUUAUUUUAUACCCCAACUGUUAACUAAUUUCAUUGUCUAUUUGUCUGUUUCUAUCCCUUCUUUCUCUUUCCCAUCUUCCUUUGGUGCUGCCAGUUCAUUGUACACUGUACUGCUCUGUCCCGACUAAUGCCCCAUAAACUUUCCAUCCACUUACCUUCCUUCUUCCUAUUCUUCCUGUCCUGCAGUCUUGGAAAUUGUACCAAAGCUAAUAUCUCAAGCUAAGCCUUGUAAUCAAAUUCAGAAGAUAGAGAUAAGCUAUGGUUAGAGCUCUGCAGUAAAGUGUUGUCAGAGAAACCAGUACUUCCUUGUAUUUCGGUAGCCUCCCAAGUUUCACUGGAAUCCCUUUCUUGGAACAGGGAUUUAGGAUUUUUUUUUCUACUGGUCUGUCACUAAACAACAUCUAAUUUUCAAGGUGCUCUGAAUAACAGCAUCUAACUUUUGAAGUUCUAAAUAGAAAGGGGUAGCAUUCUUCUUUUUCCUCUUUUGUGCUCCAGGGAUUAAGAUAUUCUGAGAGAUAUUCCUCUGCUGCACUUAACCAGUUGGAAUAAUAGUGGCACAAAAUACUCUUAUAUUUCCGGAAAGUUAGUGCUUUGAGCCUCUUCCAGGAGGGUAUUAGGAGUUGCAAGAAUUUGGCAGCUUUACUACUGAAAAGGAAGGGACCCCUUGAUACUUAAUACGUAUCCAUGCUUCUUUGCUUCAAUAAAUUAGGCAGGACCUAUGGGACAGCUGUCUUACUGCUAGACACUGUCCUCUGCUGGGCUGUAUUGGGGUCCUUCAGAGCGAAUAGAUACAGGCGCUGUGUGUGGUGUGAUUCAAACGGUCCAGGAGAUACUGUGUCAGAUACUGUGACUGUGAACUUAGGCAGAUGUCACCAUCAGUCAUCCUACGGAUGUUGUGAUCCACAAGCAGGAGGGGUAGAAAUCUAUUCUGGUAUGUUCAUGUAAAAUACAUCUUUCAGUGAUUCCAAAAAAUGGAGCCUCUGGGCAGGGACAGGUCUCUGUGGAGCCUCUGAAUUAAUCUGGUUGUAGUGAAGGUCCGAUGCUAUGUUAUUGCUCCCCCAGUCUGAGAAGAUGGAAGAAACUCUCCAGUACCCUAACUCAGAACUGCUUCCCAGUUAGUAAUUUUAAUAUGUGCUUCUCAGAGCUUUGUUACAGACAGCACAAAAAUCACCUUGUUCUUCUGUGGUUUCAGUGGUUCUGAGCAGCAGCAGCAGCAAAGCCUGAGCACAGUUUUCACUGUGCUCAGGGCAGCAGCGCAGGCACCAAAGCUCUCCAUACGCACACUUGGACAACCAGUACUGAGUUGGUUUGCACCCUACUCUGACCUUUCAAUUUAUCUCUGCAAACAUAAAGGCUUUGAUUUUUGUUUCUUAAAACAAAAUUUGCUGGCUGCUGUUGAAUGGCUGCUUUUGAAGUUCACUAGGAAAACUAGAGAUCUUUUCUUUAAAAAGAAAAUAAGAAAUCACUAGGCUAUGAGUUAGGAGUGGAAGAACUGAGGAAGAGAAGGGCAGAACUAAUGCGAGUAAGAUUUGAAGGAUGAAUGUAUAAACCCAGUCCCUUGCCAACUCCACCCUCUAAAUGGCAUUUACUGCCAGGGAAAUUGGAUCCACCCUGGACUGAUUCUAGCGUCGGGAAAAUCCUCCUAAAAUAGCUCUGGGCCUUGCAAAAGUUGCAGUUUCCUCUCCCAAUAAUUGAUGCUGUGGUGACAACCUCCAUCUGGUACUCAUGAGUCGCAGCCACCACAUCUGCUAAGGGGAAGAAGGCAACUUUUUCCCUUUGCUCAGAAUCUCUUGCCUUGUCUGCAAUGAUGGUCCUAGGAGUGAAAAAUUGCUUGCUAAGUUUGAGCACUUCUUGACAGGGAUGGUGUCCCCUAUACCAGCAACUUGGAAAUGAAACUGCAAUCUCUGCUUACUCAGAUUUUAAGUGUAAAUGAAGAGGAACCACUUUAAGAGUACCUGGGGAUUGGUCUAAGUUGCAUUAUUGCCAUUGACUGUGGGUUUAUUUCAUACUGUUUACUAAAUGGAGAGUAUAACCAUGGCAACAUUCAUGACAUGCUCUGUAUGGAUCUGCCAACACGAGACUGAAAUUAGCAUUCAGAACACAGCCGUUUGAAAGUAGCUUGAGAACUGAAAAAUAAUGUUGCAGACUACAGUCCGGAUGAGAAUACACUUCAGCAUCUGCAGAGUGAAAAUUAUGCAAAAUUUACUACUUUGACUCAUGCCGAUCUCAGCAAGAGUAUAUGUGGUAUUAUUUGUAUAGAUCUUACCUUGAUGAGUGACAGCAUAAUGGUAUAGAUACUAAUAGCUGGUGGUGAUUCUGACUACCCCAUAACAACCAUAAUUUUGUGUGAAGUAUACAAAUACUACAAGCCUUUUAUGCUCAACUGUAGUGCAAAGAUAGUUAAAAUCUUUUUUCCAAGUUUACUUGGAAAAAAAAAGAAUGACAAUUCCUAGACAAGAUGAAGGUUCUACUGUCUGCAUAUAAAGAAAAAAGGUACAGGGUGAAUGGGAGUAAGGAGGGGAGUAUAAAAGGAUAUUCUAGAUCUGAGUUAGUCCUCCACUGUCCCAGCUAUAAAUUGUUGACAAACAUAGUCUAAUAAAUAUUUUUUGUUGCUGCAUGUUGUGAUGUUUUUGCAGAAGUCUUUUAUAAGAGAAGUCAUGGUCUGGCAGAAUGAAGGUGGAUUGAAUUAUAGCUUGCUUCUUCAUGUCUUUCCACAGGUCACUUCUUUCUGAAAGGAGCAGAGUCAGCAUAACUACACCUUUCUCAUUGAGUCAUAUCAGCUGUUGCAAGUAAUGCUGAACAAAAAUAAUUCCCUGGUUACACUGCCUGCACUUUUAUCUGUGGUUAACUUCACUGUUUUUGUUUUAAGUCAGUCUCUUCUUUUGUGUGCAUCUGCCACAUACCAGGAAAGACAUGUUUCUGUAAAUAAGCUUCACAAGUCGUUUAGGAGAUGUGUAGGAAAAUACAGAACUGCUUUUAACUAACUUCUGAAAGUUGGCUAGAUUUUAAGCUGACUCUGCCCUUUCAACAGAUGCUCAGAACAGUGACUGCUCUUCAUUGCCUCAACACACCAUCUUGGGAUAACACAUCAGCCAGUCUGAUGGAAUAUUUUAUGUAGAGUUACUACUUCCCGUGAGUCAGUGCUGUAAAUGGCAAUUACGUCUGCAAAGAACACAGCAUCAUUCAUGUCCCUUGCUGCCCUCAUGGCUAGAGGUGGUACAUUUUAGGGAGGGUUAGGUUAGUCCUAAGAAUCAUAUGGAUCUAUAGAAAUGAUGGAAAAGUUGCUAGUAAAACACAAAAGACUGAAUAAUUAAGUAUUUUUUCUAUGUUUGAAGCAUACAGGCAAACCCCAAACUUCUAUCACUUUGCAAGGUGAGAAAAUACAUCCUAUUCCAGCAGCAACUCAGGAGUGUGUUGGCCAUCAAAGCUAGGUUUAAAGUAACACAUUCAGAAAUUUGUGUUUUGCUGGAUGGACCUAAGAAAAACUGAAAAUGCUAGUUGGAAUUUUUCUUCUGUUAACGAGUUUUUAUUUGGGGAUUUGGAGGAGGAAUGAAGAGGUGCAGAGAGAUUUGUCAAGGAAGGUAACAGUGAAUGAACUCUUAAAUAUGGUGCUUUGGUCAAAACGCCUCAUGUAAUUCUUGGCUAUACAAAGAGAAAUCUCUAGGGACUGCAAAGACAAUACUAGUUAUACAUUUGGCACAGAAACAAUAUUUGUUGGAAUUUGCUUUGUCCAGUUUAGGAUUCAGGAAGGCUGUUGGUAGACAGAAAAGGUUGAGAGAAGAGCCAGAAAAAUCAUUGAUUCAUGUGAUAUAAUACAAGGAAGUUUUUCUGUUUGGUUUAUCAAACAGAAAAUUGUAUUGACUGCAGUCCAAAAGUAUCUGCAAUGAAAUAGAAACUUAAUACCUGGCUUUUCCAUCUAGCUGACAAAGACAUAACAGGAUCUGAAUGCUGCAUGUUGAAGCUGAACAAAAUCAGACUAGAACUGACGGAGUGGUACAAUUUUCCCUAAAUAAUGAGCAGUUAACCAUUGGAAGAUUUUAAUGAAAAUUAUAAUGGGCUUUCCAUCUCUAGUAGUUUUAACCUCAGGAGAUGUCCUUCUUAAAAGAAGUAUUCUAGCUGAACUCAGCAGUAGUUCAGGAAAUCUCAGGGACUUCUGAGAACAGAUCAGCCCAGAUGGUCACAGUGGAUGUUCUGGCCUUAUCUUUGAUAGGAACCAAGGUGGUUUUGGUUCUUCCUUGAACUCUGCUAUGAGCUUAUGUCAUGAUCCAGUUUUUUUGCCUAUGGAUGCUAACAUUUGUACUGGAACUUCAGUGCAGCUGCAGCAGUUUAAGAAAGGUCAUAAUCACCUGUAAAUGGUGUAGUAUGGCAAAGGAUCCAGACUGCAUAAAAGCCUGUUCUAAAGAUGUACACAGAGGACAGCCAGCCACACAUGGAAUUUUAGCACUUCUUUUUCAUGUGUGUUCCAGUUUCUGCGCAACAGUCUUGUGAAUUAACAGGGUAUCUGGUGAUUCUGUGCCACUAUAUAAGCUUGUGUUCAUGUACAGAAGGUGGAAUACUGUUUUGGAUUAAGUCUUAGCUUACUCUUGUAUGCAUGCGUGAUUUUAAACGCACCAAGGGUAUGUCCAUAUCGACCCUUGGUUUUUUAGCUUGUCCAAAACUUGCAACUUGUGUUUGGGCUCUUGUUUGUGAAGUGAUAUUUAGUCCUUCAAAUAAAAAGUGCAGAAGUAAUUAGUAACAUUAGCUUAUCAUUAUUUACAGCAAACCAGUUCCCUCUUUGUGCAUAGAAAACUCAAAUUAUAACUUUGCUUGGCUGAAAACUUCCUUUCUGCAAGUAAUAAAAGUGCAAAUAGCCCUUACAAGGGCUACUUCAGCCUUCUUGCAGCUUGGGGCAAAAGCACGUUGGCAGAAGGACAAUGUCUUGUCUCUGGUGGCUAUGAAGCCUCUCUGAACUCGACCUGAAUGUGAACUUAUACAAAAGGCACCACUGUGCAGUGACAAGAACUUGAAAACAGAGUAUAAUUACAUAAGAAAUUUAAAAUAAGUUAGGAAGCAUGUUUCAAUGAGAUCAACAUUCCAAGUAGUCCCUAACAAGAAUUGGAUAUUUGUAUCUCUGUUGCCACUCAU